UUACUGUUAUAAGCAUAGUCUCUCGAUCUGAUUUGUAUAAAAACAUAACCUUUUUCAAGUUCUCCUUCCAAAUUAUCACCAUUGACAUCUCACAUAUAAAUAAGCAAUUUAUAAAUCCAAACAAAAAAAAACCCAGACCUAAAUCAACUAAAAGCUAUAAGAAUUGCAUCAAUCUCCCACUAUUCGUUAAUUUUGACAACCAAUCAGCUAUAGUACAGAAACAAGAAUCCCAAAUAUUACCAUUUUACAACCCAUGUACUUACCAGCAAGUAAUCAAUUCAAAAAACCCAUCAAAAUCCCAGAAGUAAAAUCCACCAAAAACCAUAAAUAUCUGAGGAUCAACAAAAUUCAUAUAAUAAAGGUACAACCUUGGUCCUUGACAUACUCAGCAAAGGUGUUGCAGUCUAAGCAGAGAGCCAGAUCAGUUAAUCCCAGACUCUCACACUCUUUGGUGCUAAGUUGCAUUUGCACAUGAGCAGACCCACCAGUAACAAAACCCAAUGUAUGGUCAUUUCCUGCUACAGAAGUAGGAUUAGGAUUAGAUGUACCCCAAUAAUAACAUAUUCAUAUAAAAAAAAAGAACCUUUAAAGUUGCUUAGAAGAAAGAAGAAUCCACAAAAAAAAAAGGCGAUAACAGAAACAAGAGAAGAAAUCUAUUGAGAGAGUAUAAAAGCUAGUUUUACCAACAGAAAUUAAUCAAUAAAAAUAAUGUCACUGAUGAAAUUUCCCCAAAGGGAACAAAACAUUGUACAUACACGUGGAAGCAAAUUCUAGAGAAGUUCCUAUGCAUUAUUUUCUAAUUUUUCUUUUUUUAAAAAAAAAUGCAAUAUUGGGUCCAACAUCAAAUGUCAAUUGUAUGACGCACAGGAAUACUAUUUUCUGAACAUAAUUUUUCCAGUCAAAGAUCGAGCCAAGUUUUUUUAGUAAUUUAAAAGAGGAAAGAUGGUAUCUUCAUAGUAGAUUAAAUGGAUUUUGCUUUUGAAACUCCAUUUAUGUAAUUCGUAUAACUAUGUAUCUCAUGAAUCAUGAACUGAUCAAAACAUCUUCGAGGAAGUUAGUCAUAAUAAUGAUUUCAUUUUGCACGUUAAAACCACAAAACCAGAAAAAUCGACUAUGAAAUAAAGAUUUCAUCAUACAGCUUCCCAAAUCUUGACAUUAUGAAGAAUACCAAGUAGUUUAUAUAACAGAUUCAUUAUGUUUCCCAGCCAAGGGAAAAAAAGAAGAUACAGAAGAAAAAGAUACUUGUAUCUAAUUUACUUUGACAGACACAAUAAAACCCAAAACACAAAACACUGGAAGAAAUUUGCUCAUUCUUCCAAUCACUUUUACCUUUAUCCUUUCUCUGACAACAACUUCAAUAAACAAAAAUAGGCUAAAUUAGGUGAGAGAAACCAUUUAUAGAAAAAGACUAUGGUUUAUAGUAUAAAUAGUAGAACACAAAUAAAUAUUACCAGCUUUAACUACUUCUUAGAGAAGUCAACUUCAAGUUUUCAUAUUCCUUCCUGUAACAACAACCACUAAUAUACUUGGAAAAGUAGCACCAAAAGAACAAAAAAAAAAAGGAAAAAAAAUCAUCCAUCAAAUCCUAAACCAGGCGUGGAAGAGGGAAAAAUUAAAUCAGAUUGAUGCAGCAAACUUACAUUUUCACUCACCAGUUGUUUUUCACAAGUGGCCAUUUUUCCUCCGAACUCCAGAAGAAAUCCAAGAUAAAAACGAAAAAUGGAACAAUAAAUCACCAAAUAGAUACAAAAAAGAAAGUUAAUAAAUAUCUAAAAGCUAGCUAAUCAUCAAUUAUUCAUCAUCUCAGACCAUAUUAAAAGUUUUUUUCUGAUUAAAAAUAAAAAAUCAAUGAUAAAACAGAAAUGAAACAGAGACAUUAAUCAUGGAAAGAAAGGGGAAGAAAAGUAC
rnacentral:lncRNA from 1 species